AUUCACUGUCAUGAUCGUGUGCAGGAUUGGACAAAACAAGAUGGCAGACGGCAUUUCCAAACAAAGGUAUCAAGCCCUAGAACUUCAUUCCAUGAGAUGGGUACACUUCGAAUGUGCAAAUUUGUGGUGAGGAAUUCAAGACCAAUUCUGAAUUGCGUAGGCAUGUAUAAAGGAAACAUCAAUCAGAAAAAUUGUCUUCGUUUGUGACCAGUGCAACACACGCUUUUGCCCAUUAUAAAAGAAACUCGAAGUAAAAAAUACAUUGUUUUCUGAAUACACGAGGUGCAUACAUACAUGUAUACCAUGGCAGCCGUUUUAUAUAUUCGUUUAUGUACAUUGUGAAACGAUUAUUUUUACGGUAUUAUGCUUUGUUUUACAGAGAUACUACUAAUCUUUUACAUUGCAUUUUACACAUGUUGAUUUGUCAUUUCAUUGAACCUAAGUUUUACGUGUUAUUAAAUAUAUUUCAAUGUUA